UCCUAGAUUGGUUCACGCUCUUAUGUGUGUCCAAGAUUGGCUCCAGAAUGAAUCAACAACUUCGGUUAAAAUUGAAGAAGAUUUGGAUAAUCUUGAACAACUUGAAGUUGAAUGAAGGGGAGUACAUUAAGAAGACAAGAAUUGAGUGGGAUGGCUAUGGAAAUAGGAACUUAAAACUCUUUUGUGUAAUCUUUUAAUGAAUUCUUGUUGAUGAUAUCAGUUUAUUAGAUAUCUAUUUGGGAUUUUAGUUUAUUUUAUUUUGCCAUGAAAAUUGUGUUUUAUCUAUGCAAUGAAAGACAUUUGUUGCCUUUUAA